AUAUAAACCCGUCACUAUCCCUGUCACAGUCUACUUCUGCUACUAGCCAUUACUGCUUUCUCCAUACUGCUGCUACUGAGAGCAAAAUGAACGGCUGCUUGUAUCCAUAGCCCUAUUCCUAACGAACGCACAUUGGUCAGCUUAGGCUAGACCUGACUACAGCUACUGCUACCACCAUAACUACUGCCACCACCACCAUUUCUAGCAGUACAGAUUCUGUCUCCUGAGUCUGUUAUCGACAUACUAAAAAACAUAUGCAAAUGGGAGAUAGAUUGUUGGGCACAAGUUAUUGAGCAUAGGGAUUUACUUGCAACUUGCAAAACAGCUCUGAAUUGUGUGCAUGAGGGUAUGACUGUAAGGUUAUCUAUUCUUUGUAAUAAAAGAAAGGAAAACAAAGAGGACUGACACCACCGCAUAACCAAAUGGGUGCAUGUGGGGGAAAGAGUAGCUGGAAACAUGGAGCCUAGGUUUUUCCAGAUGGCAUUGAUCAGGGUGAUGUGAACCAGUAACAACACUGCAGAACCAAUAGCAACAGGGGCCAUCCCAAGAUCUUACCACCUUGUAACAGGUCUGUUGUAUAUAUUAUACAUACAUUUUUCAGAAAUUGGGACAAAGUCUAACAAAACAUCUGUCAGAUGAUAAAUAAUAACGUGGCAUUCAUCAUUUUCAGUCUUCCCGCUAAUCAGAAAACAAACAUCCAAUUCUUGGUGGGCCGCAAAACUAUUCCAGAUAAUGGAGACCAUAGGGAAAAGAAAAAAUGUUAUGCCUGGCUGUUUCAAAUGGUCCCUACCAUAGGUCCCUACUCAUGGAUGAUGGGUAAUUUGUAGCCCUUGCCAGCAGAGGGAGGCAGUGAUCUGUUCUGUUAGAGUAGUUGGUCAAAUGGCUUCCCACCAUUUCAUUUUAUAGUUUUAUGAUCAUCUCCAGAAAGUUUGCUUCAGUAAAUGUGUAUGUAGAAACCUAAAAAUGGACAUAGUCAGAUAUUCUUAUGUUGGCUUUAAUUGAUUUUUAUCCAAAACUAUCAGUGUGAUUAGCCUUCACAGACCUAUGUCCCGCACAUGAGCCCCACACAGCAGGUCAGAACUUACUACAUGUAUGAUUCCAGUGAAUAUACAUUGCUGAACUGAUUAAUGAAGGAUUAUCAUAAAUGUAUUGGUUAAAUAGGUACAGAUGUACUUGCUUACUAUGUAAAGGUGGAUUCUUAUAGUGUGUAGCUACACAACAUGUGGUGCUUUUGUUUUUUCCUGGUUCUCCAUUUUUAGAGACAAAGCCUCCCUAUGAGCUGUAGGUGAAACUCUCUCGAUCACUAUUGGCUAGGUGCGCUAUAUGUUCUCUAUGUGCCCGUAAAAUAAACAUGAAAUUAAAUUAAA